rnacentral:lncRNA from 1 species
AGCAUCUCUGUGAAGCGUGUGCAGGGGACAGCAGACAUCAGAGCUCUCCUGUAAAUCACCUCCGCAAAGGCUCUUUGUGGUCGAUUCACUGAUGACUCAUUUAUAAUCUGGUUUCAACAUUGUGAGUCAAAAUGCACCACUUUCAUUAAAAAUAACAUUCACUGGGGUCUAACGGCUUUCUUUUUUCUGUUUUUUACUGUACUGUGUGGUUUCUGGAUGGGAAGCUGUCAGAUGGCAGGCGAGGUGUUCCGAGGGACUUGAGCAUAAUCGUGCAACGACUCAGGUGUGGAUUGAACAAAUAGUCCCGAAUACCUGCUGUGGGUCCUGCAGACUUCUGGGCCAUGGAAGUGUGUGGGUAGUCGGCGUGGGUGUGUGUGGGGGUGUGUGCAAGUAUCAGGAUCACCUGGGAUGCUUGUUAAAAAUACAGAUUCCUGGGCUUCACCCCAUAUCUCUGAGGGUGGGGCCUUGUCAAAUUCCUCAGGAGCUUUUUAGGUACAAUAGAGUCAAGAGCCUUGACUCUGGGUGAGAGAGAAUGGGAACUCCCUUCAAGCAGACCCUCCCUACAAACGGAGCAACCAGAGGAGAGGCAGGUCGACUGCAAGGCUGAGAGGGGUGGAUGGGGGAGGUGAGAGAGGAAAAGGCAGGGGCGGGGGAACACCCGAGGUGGAGCGGGCCAACAGAGUCCCCAUGGGAGAGUUGACUAAAAGCCCCGGCUUGAUGCAAGGAACCCACAGUCUUUCUGGUUUGGGGACCAAAUCUUGGGCAUCCCCUACUUCCUUGGUUAAAAAAAUUAAACAUACAGAAACGGUUUAGUGGGCAUUCUGCAGGGUAAAAAGCCCCUGCUGCAUGGCCAUGUUUUUAUAUUUUAUGUUCUUUAGCAAUGUUAGAAACUUCACUGGGAAAAGCACUUUAAAAAGAUAUAGUUGAGGGGAAUGGGACGUGGGGAGUUAUUGUUGAAUGGGUGCAGAGUUUCAAUUUUACAAGAUGAAAGUGCCUGGAGAUGGUUAGCGGCGAUGGCUGUAUAGCAGUGGGAAUGCAUGUCACACCACUGAACAACGUGCUUAAAAAUGGUUACGAUGGAGGCCAGGCACGGUGGCUGACACGUGUAAUCCCAGCACUUUGGGUGGCGGAGGCGGGCUGAUCACUUGAGGUCAGGAGUUUUGAGACCAGUCUGGCUAACAUGGUGAAACCCUGUCUCUACUAAAAAUACAAAAAUUAGCCAGGCAUGGUGGCGGGCACCUGUAAUCCCAGCUACUCGGGAGGCUGAGGCAGGAGAAUCACUUGAAACCCAGAGACGGAGUUUGCAGUGAGCUGAGAUCGCACCACUGAACUCCAGCCUGGGUGACAGAGUGAGACGCUGUCUCAAAAAAAAAAGGUUAAGAUGGUAAAUUUUCUGUUAUGUGUAUUUUACUUACUACAAUUUUUAAAAAAUUGGAAAAAGAAAGAUAUGGUUGAGUCUGACUUGGAUGAAAGUCUACAGGCCUCCUGCUGAUGGUCUCAGCGGCUCCUGGGAAACUACCGUUUGUUUCAGCCAUCUGUAACUUGAUUUGUUGUUCAGAAGUUUGCCAAGACUUCUCCAUGCAAAGCCAGGUGUAAGUUUAACCUGAGCCACGUGGGUCCCCCCACCUUUCCGCCUCCGAUGGAUCUUCUCUCCAAGGGCUCCGGUGCUCAGGCCCUCAUAGCAUGGGAAAUCAGAAGGGAUGUUUGGGUGGGAGGCUUGGCAUGGAGGGUGGACAUUUUGCUACAGAUGGCCUUGCCCUCACGGAAGGCCAUUGUUAUUCCGCGUCUGCCCCCUGGCCGGGUCCAGCCACCUGAGCCUUCCUGAGCUCCCAGCUCUCAGUUGCAGCCAGCGCCCAACGCCUUCCUGCGGCACCUCCACAGACCUCGCCUCUUUGCCCUGACUCCUCUCAUUCUCUGUUUUCCAGACUAUCCCCAAGCCCUGCCUGUGGCUGCCUCCUCCCUCCAUAGCAUCCCUGCUCUGCCAUGGCUCCCCUAUUUGGGACAAGACCUUUGUGUGGGCCUCAAGA